AACGAACGCUGGCGGCAUGCCUAACACAUGCAAGUCGAACGAGACCUUCGGGUCUAGUGGCGCACGGGUGCGUAACGCGUGGGAACCUGCCCUUAGGUUCGGAAUAACUCCCCGAAAGGGGUGCUAAUACCGGAUAAUGUCUUCGGACCAAAGAUUUAUCGCCUUUGGAUGGGCCCGCGUUGGAUUAGCUAGUUGGUAGGGUAAAAGCUUCCCAAGGCGACGAUCCAUAGCUGGUCUGAGAGGAUGAUCAGCCACACUGGGACUGAGACACGGCCCAGACUCCUACGGGAGGCAGCAGUGGGGAAUAUUGGACAAUGGGCGAAAGCCUGAUCCAGCAAUGCCGCGUGAGUGAUGAAGGCCUUAGGGUUGUAAAGCUCUUUUACCCGGGAUGAUAAUGACAGUACCGGGAGAAUAAGCUCCGGCUAACUCCGUG
rnacentral:rRNA from 1 species